GGAGUAUGGGCCGUGUCUCAGUCCCAUUGUGGCUGAUCAUCCUCUCAAACCAGCUACUGAUCAUCGCCUUGGUGGUCCAUUACACCCCCAACUAGCUAAUCAGAUGCAGACUCAUCCCAGAGCACCGGAGUUUUCAAGAAUAGUAUCUCAACUACGCUCAUAUGGGGUAUUAGCUGUCGUUUCCAACGGUUGUCCCCCACUCUAGGGCAGAUUCUCUACAUAUUACUCACCCGUCCGCCACUUUCCAUUACCCGAAGGUAACUUCUCGUUCGACUUGCAUGUAUGAAGCACGCCGCCAGCGUUCGUC
rnacentral:rRNA from 1 species